rnacentral:rRNA from 1 species
CACGGUCCAAACUCCUACGGGAGGCAGCAGUGGGGAAUAUUGCACAAUGGGCGAAAGCCUGAUGCAGCAACGCCGCGUGAGUGAUGAAGGCCUUCGGGUCGUAAAACUCUGUCCUCAAGGAAGAUAAUGACGGUACUUGAGGAGGAAGCCCCGGCUAACUACGUGCCAGCAGCCGCGGUAAUACGUAGGGGGCUAGCGUUAUCCGGAUUUACUGGGCGUAAAGGGUGCGUAGGCGGUCUUUCAAGUCAGGAGUGAAAGGCUACGGCUCAACCGUAGUAAGCUCUUGAAACUGGGAGACUUGAGUGCAGGAGAGGAGAGUGGAAUUCCUAGUGUAGCGGUGAAAUGCGUAGAUAUUAGGAGGAACACCAGU